rnacentral:rRNA from 1 species
UACGUAGGGGGCUAGCGUUGUCCGGAAUCAUUGGGCGUAAAGAGCGUGUAGGCGGCCCGGUAAGUCCGCUGUGAAAGUCGGGGGCUCAACCCUCGAAAGCCGGUGGAUACUGUCGGGCUAGAGUGCGGAAGAGGCGAGUGGAAUUCCUGGUGUAGCGGUGAAAUGCGCAGAUAUCAGGAGGAACACCGAUUGCGAAGGCAGCUCGCUGGGACGUAACUGACGCUGAGACGCGAAAGCGUGGGGAGCAAACGGG